AGCAGCCGCGGUAAUUCCAGCUCCAAUAGCGUAUAUUAAAGUUGUUGCAGUUAAAAAGCUCGUAGUUGAAUUUCGGGAUCAGACUGUCGGUCGUGCCUCGGUACGCACUGGCAUUAUUGGUUCCUACCUUCUGAAGAACCGCGAUGUCAUUAAUUUGGUGUCGUGGGGAAUCAGGACUGUUACUUUGAAAAAAUUAGAGUGUUUAAAGCAGGCGCACGCUUGAAUACAUUAGCAUGGAAUAAUGAAAUAGGACGUUUGAUUCUAUUUUGUUGGUUUCUAGGAUCGACGUAAUGAUUAAUAGGGAUAGUUGGGGGCAUUAGUAUUCAAUUGUCAGAGGUGAAAUUCUUGGAUUUAUUGAAGACUAACUACUGCGAAAGCAUUUGCCAAGGAUGUUUUCAUUAAUCAAGAACGAAAGUUAGGGGAUCGAAGACGAUCAGAUACCGUCGUAGUCUUAACCAUAAACUAUGCCGACUAGGGAUCGGAUGAUGUUAAUUUUUUAAUGACUCAUUCGGCGCCUUACG
rnacentral:rRNA from 1 species